rnacentral:rRNA from 1 species
GAUGAACGCUAGCGGCAGGCUUAAUACAUGCAAGUCGAGGGGCAGCAGGGUGUAGCAAUACAUCGCUGGCGACCGGCAAACGGGUGCGGAACACGUACACAACUUUCCUUUAAGUGGGGAUAGCCCAGAGAAAUUUGGAUUAAUACCCCGUAAUAUUAUGAAGUGGCAUCAUUUUAUAAUUAUAGCUCCGGCGCUUGAAGAUGGAUGUGCGGCUGAUUAGGAGUUGGCGGGGUAACGGCCCACCAAGCCUACGAUCAGUAACUGGUGUGAGAGCACGACCAGUCAC